AUCGCUUCUCGGCCUUUUGGCUAAGAUCAAGUGUAGUACAAAGAAAUGGUAAAUAUUUGAAAUAAUUCUUAACCUAAGUAGCUUGAGUUUGGCAAAGUAAAAUAUACAAAUUUAGCAAAGUAUCACACUAUAGUAUAUGCCACAA
ensembl:snRNA U2 U2 spliceosomal RNA